GAAAAAGAAUUAAAAAAAAAGGUGAAAACAGUUCCCUCAGGAGAUCAAAAGAAUAAGGUUUCAUCAAUAUACCUCAGAAUUAGCAUGGUAAAAGAUAAUCAUCACUGGGAACAAUACCCCUAAAUCAAACGAAAAUCUAAACC